GAUGAACGCUGGCGGCGUGCCUAAUACAUGCAAGUCGAGCGAACGGACGAGAAGCUUGCUUCUCUGAUGUUAGCGGCGGACGGGUGAGUAACACGUGGAUAACCUACCUAUAAGACUGGGAUAACUUCGGGAAACCGGAGCUAAUACCGGAUGAUAUUUUGAACCGCAUGGUUCAAAAGUGAAAGACGGUCUUGCUGUCACUUAUAGAUGGAUCCGCGCUGCAUUAGCUAGUUGGUAAGGUAACGGCUUACCAAGGCAACGAUGCAUAGCCGACCUGAGAGGGGGAUAGGCAACACUGGAACUGAGACACGGUCCAGACUACUACGGGAGGCAGCAGUAGGGAAUAUUCCGCAAUGGGCGAAAGCCUGACGGAGCAACGCCGCGUGAGUGAUGAAGGUCUUCGGAUCGUAAAACUCUGUUAUUAGGGAAGAACAUAUGUGUAAGUAAAUGUGCACAUCUUGACGGUACCUAAUCAGAAAGCCACGGCUAACUACGUG
rnacentral:rRNA from 1 species